UACGAAGGGGGCGAGCGUUGUUCGGAGUUACUGGGCGUAAAGAGCGCGCAGGCGGUCGUUCAAGUCGCGUGUGAAAGCCCCCCGGCUCAACUGGGGAGGGUCACGCGAUACUGAUCGACUCGAAGGCAGGAGAGGGAAGUGGAAUUCCCGGUGUAGUGGUGAAAUGCGUAGAUAUCGGGAGGAACACCAGUGGCGAAGGCGGCGACCUGGGCCAAUAUUGACGCUGAGGUGCGAAAGCGGUGGGGAGCAAACGGG
rnacentral:rRNA from 1 species